GUGCGCGCUUCUGCGGCACAUGUACUAGAAUUGCAACGAUACAGAUAAGCUUAUUAGCAUGGCCCCUAUGCAAGGAUGACAUGUAAAUGUUUGAAGGAUUCUCUAUGUUU
rnacentral:snRNA from 1 species